rnacentral:rRNA from 1 species
GCAGGCUGCAACUCGCCUGCAUGAAGCUGGAAUUGCUAGUAAUCGCGGAUCAGCAAGCCGCGGUGAAUACGUUCCCGGGCCUUGUACACACCGCCCGUCACACCAUGAGAGUCGGGAACACCCGAAGUCCGUAGUCUAACCGCAGGGGGGCGCGGCCGAAGGUGGGUCCGGUAAUUGGGGUGAAGUCGUAACAAGGUAGC